UAUCCAAGGAAAUGCUGAGUGGCCAACCUGAACAGUCUUUCAUAGAAAAUGUGGCCUUAGUAUACUAGUACUUCUUUUAAGAAAUAUGAUGGAAUAUCUUGCAGUGGAGAAGAACCAGGAAGGAUCAAUCAAUAUCUUUGCAAGUUUCUUAAAAAAGUUUUGAAAUUGCUACUGAAAAUGUUUUUCACAUGCCCUUCCAACAUCGAAGACCCAGAUUACAAGCUAAAAUUCAAGCAAUUGAUUGGGCUGCAAAAACCAGGGAUGUAUUUGUAGUGGAGAUGGGGCUUCAACUGGAUUUUGAUUGGUUAAUAUAUAUGAUGGAGAAUGGAAAGUUUCCAGGUUAUAAGACCAACCAGGAUGAAGUCACGAGGGGUAGCUGCAUGUUUGCUGAAGCAGGAGGAAUGUCUCUGCAAGCAAGUUCUACUUUUCAGAUACUACAAUAUGAAAUAAAAGAGGAUGUCUCUUAACUUUCAAGAUAGUCCCCAGAUUUCACUUGUCAAAAACAGUCUUUUUGAAGAGAUUUCUAGAUUUCUUCAUAUGAACAUCAAAUAAUUAGCUACCAUUGCCCACACUCCCCCAUUUGAUAUAUGUGAAGUUAAAUGGAAAAUCUGCCCACUAGAGAUAGGCAGGUGCUAUAUAAACACAUCUGUAGGUCAUUUAGAAAUUACUAUCAUCACUCUUUUCAUUAAAGUGACAUGCAUAUAUUUAGAAACUGCUUUUCAAAAACCUAAUGAAAGACUGUCCUUGAUAACUUCUCUAUAUGUUCAUCUAUAAAUCAUUAUUAAAAUCCUUUACAUAAUGAGGCGCACAUUCUUGGGGAAGAAAAAAAGGAAGUUUCAAUUCUCCCAUUUUUUUAAGGUGAACUGGAAUUCAACCUAUUUGUUUACAUCAUUUUAUACCUGUUGUCACUGCAUGUGUGAAAAGGUGCUUCCUUCCUAUUUCAGAAUUUUAUACAGUUAUGAAUUGUCUCGUAUCAUAUUUUCACUAACAUUGAGAUUAUUGUUUUACUAUGUAGAAAUAAAUACAUAGUUUAGAGCAUCUCAAAAUUCAUGCACUUGUAUCUAGAAGCAACGUUAAGUUUUUCAUGUGAAGAUCCCCAAGACAUCUCUAUUGAGCUCAUUGUAUACUUCCAGUAAACCAUGUAUGUUGAUAUGGUGUCACAGAUAAAGUCUAAAUGUGUAUAUGAGAGUUACAAUAGCUGUUUUCUGCCUGAGUACUCAAAGGUACUUUGAGACUUCUGCCGAAGCCUGCAUUUUGCCCUCGUUCAUGGAAUUCCUAGGCUAAAUGGCACUGCACAGGAGGUAGACAUAGACUUGUUAAACGAGUAAUGGGUUUCUGUGAUCAUCUCACACACAAUUUCCAAAUUUAAUCCUCCUUAUAUAGAGUUUUAUGUAAGGUCAUUUCAUAGUGUGUGUAUGCUGAGGAAGAUAGCUAACGUGCAUAAUUUACUGAAAUAGACAUCUGUUAGAGGUAAACCAGUGAGGUCAUUUUUAUAUUGAAAUCUGUGAGAGAGCCCAUGGAAACAAAGUAUAGUGCAAAUAGAAUAUUACCUCCUGAUUAAAACACCUGUGGAUUCAAUUGAUACCAUUUCAUGUUGCAUGGCAUUGGAAUUAAAGUCCCCAAACACCAAGCUCCUUAGUGUAGCCAAUACUAACAACUCAGGAGUCUCAUUUGAAAAUCCAGUUUAGCCUUUACACAAAGCAUGCACAUCUCAACAUAUGGUUAUCUGUUAUUUUUCAUGUAAAGGACUGUGAUAUUUUGAUUUCCUAUUUUUAUAUGGAUAACUGAAGCAUUUCAAAGGGGCCUUACAUGUAUGUGUUUGGUUGUUUUCAUUCUGCACUACCUGAACA